rnacentral:rRNA from 1 species
UACAGAGGUCUCAAGCGUUGUUCGGAUUCAUUGGGCGUAAAGGGUGUGUAGGUGGCGCCGUAAGUCGGGUGUGAAAUUUCGGAGCUUAACUCCGAAACUGCAUUCGAUACUGCGGUGCUUGAGGACUGGAGAGGAGACUGGAAUUCAUGGUGUAGCAGUGAAAUGCGUAGAGAUCAUGAGGAAGACCAGUGGCGAAGGCGGGUCUCUGGACAGUUCCUGACACUGAGACAUGAAGGCCAGGGGAGCAAACGGG